GGCACGGUAGCUUAGUUGGAAAGGCACUCGCCUAACACAUAAGAAUACUGGGUUCGAAUCCCAGCCGAGCAC
rnacentral:tRNA from 1 species